UGGGGAAUAUUGGACAAUGGGCGAAAGCCUGAUCCAGCCAUGCCGCGUGUGUGAAGAAGGUCUUCGGAUUGUAAAGCUCUUUAAGUUGGGAGGAAGGGCAGUAAGCGAAUACCUUGCUGUUUUGACGUUACCGACAGAAUAAGCACCGGCUAACUCUGUGCCAGCAGCCGCGGUAAUACAGAGGGUGCAAGCGUUAAUCGGAAUUACUGGGCGUAAAGCGCGCGUAGGUGGUUCGUUAAGUUGAAUGUGAAAGCCCCGGGCUCAACCUGGGAACUGCAUCCAAAACUGGCGAGCUAGAGUAGGGCAGAGGGUGGUGGAAUUUCCUGUGUAGCGGUGAAAUGCGUAGAUAUAGGAAGGAAAACAAGUGGCGAAGGCGACCACCUGGGCUCAUACUGACACUGAGGUGCGAAAGCGUGGGGAGCAAACAGG
rnacentral:rRNA from 1 species